rnacentral:rRNA from 1 species
UACGGAGGGUGCAAGCGUUGUUCGGAAUCACUGGGCGUAAAGGGCGCGCAGGCGGCCUGAUUAGUCAGAUGUGAAAGCCCACGGCUUAACUGUGGAAGUGCAUUUGAAACUGUCAGGCUUGAGUACCAGAGGGGAAAGUGGAAUUCCCGGUGUAGAGGUGAAAUUCGUAGAUAUCGGGAGGAAUACCGGUGGCGAAGGCGACUUUCUGGCUGGAUACUGACGCUGAGGCGCGAAAGCGUGGGGAGCAAACAGGAUUAGAUACCCUGGUA